rnacentral:rRNA from 1 species
AGAAUCAACGCUGGCGGCGUGCCUAAUACAUGCAAGUCGAACGCGAAAGUGGAGCAAUCCAUGAGUAGAGUGGCAAACGGGUGAGUAACACGUGGGUGACCUGCCUUCGAGUGGGGGAUAACGUCUCGAAAGGGACGCUAAUACCGCAUGACAUCCUGCCUUUUAACAGGUGGAGAUCAAAGCCGGGGAUCGCAAGACCUGGCGCUUGGAGAGGGGCCCGCGUCCGAUUAGCUAGUUGGUGAGGUAAUGGCUCACCAAGGCAACGAUCGGUA